UGAUUGGUGCUUGCAUCAUGAUUUACAUUUGAGUGAGUGGCGAACUGGUGAGUAACACGUGGGAAACCUGCCCAGAAGCGGGGGAUAACACCUGGAAACAGAUGCUAAUACCGCAUAACAACUUGGACCGCAUGGUCCGAGUUUGAAAGAUGGCUUCGGCUAUCACUUUUGGAUGGUCCCGCGGCGUAUUAGCUAGAUGGUGGGGUAACGGCUCACCAUGGCAAUGAUACGUAGCCGACCUGAGAGGGUAAUCGGCCACAUUGGGACUGAGACACGGCCCAAACUCCUACGGGAGGCAGCAGUAGGGAAUCUUCCACAAUGGACGAAAGUCUGAUGGAGCAACGCCGCGUGAGUGAAGAAGGGUUUCGGCUCGUAAAACUCUGUUGUUAAAGAAGAACAUAUCUGAGAGUAACUGUUCAGGUAUUGACGGUAUUUAACCAGAAAGCCACGGCUAACUACGUGCCAGCAGCCGCGGUAAUACGUAGGUGGCAAGCGUUGUCCGGAUUUAUUGGGCGUAAAGCGAGCGCAGGCGGUUUUUUAAGUCUGAUGUGAAAGCCUUCGGCUCAACCGAAGAAGUGCAUCGGAAACUGGGAAACUUGAGUGCAGAAGAGGACAGUGGAACUCCAUGUGUAGCGGU
rnacentral:rRNA from 2 species